rnacentral:rRNA from 1 species
AGAGAACGCUGGCGGUAGGCCUAACACAUGCAAGUCGAACGGCAGCACAGGAGAGCUUGCUCUCUGGGUGGCGAGUGGCGGACGGGUGAGGAAUACAUCGGAAUCUACUCUGUCGUGGGGGAUAACGUAGGGAAACUUACGCUAAUACCGCAUACGACCUACGGGUGAAAGCAGGGGACCUUCGGGCCUUGCGCGAUUGAAUGAGCCGAUGUCGGAUUAGCUAGUUGGCGGGGUAAAGGCCCACCAAGGCGACGAUCCGUAGCUGGUCUGAGAGGAGGAUCAGCCACACUGGAACUGAGACACGGUCCAGACUCCUACGUGAGGCAGCAGUGGGGAAUAUUGGACAAUGGGCGCAAGCCUGAUCCAGCCAUACCGCGUGGGUGAAGAAGGCCUUCGGGUUGUAAAGCCCUUUUGUUGGGAAAGAAAUCCAGCUGGCUAAUACCCGGUUGGGAUGACGGUACCCAAAGAAUAAGCACCGGCUAACUUCGUGCCAGCCGCCGCCGUAA